rnacentral:rRNA from 1 species
CUCAGGAUGAACGCUGGCGGCGUGCUUAACACAUGCAAGUCGAACGGUGAAAGCGGAGCUUGCUCUGCUGGAUCAGUGGCGAACGGGUGAGUAACACGUGAGCAAUCUGCCCUUGACUCUGGGAUAAGCGCUGGAAACGGCGUCUAAUACCGGAUACGAGCUGCGAAGGCAUCUUCAGCAGCUGGAAAGAACUUCGGUCAAGGAUGAGCUCGCGGCCUAUCAGCUUGUUGGUGAGGUAACGGCUCACCAAGGCGUCGACGGGUAGCCGGCCUGAGAGGGUGACCGGCCACACUGGGACUGAGACACGGCCCAGACUCCUACGGGAGGCAGCAGUGGGGAAUAUUGCACAAUGGGCGCAAGCCUGAUGCAGCAACGCCGCGUGAGGGACGACGGCCUUCGGGUUGUAAACCUCUUUUAGCAGGGAAGAAGCGAAAGUGACGGUACCUGCAGAAAAAGCACCGGCUAACUACGUGCCAGCAGCCGCGGUAAUACGUAGGGUGCAAGCGUUAUCCGGAAUUAUUGGGCGUAAAGAGCUCGUAGGCGGUUUGUCGCGUCUGCUGUGAAAACUGGAGGCUCAACCUCCAGCCUGCAGUGGGUACGGGCAGACUAGAGUGCGGUAGGGGAGAUUGGAAUUCCUGGUGUAGCGGUGGAAUGCGCAGAUAUCAGGAGGAACACCGAUGGCGAAGGCAGAUCUCUGGGCCGUAACUGACGCUGAGGAGCGAAAGGGUGGGGAGCAAACAGGCUUAGAUACCCUGGUAGUCCACCCCGUAAACGUUGGGAACUAGUUGUGGGGUCCAUUCCACGGAUUCCGUGACGCAGCUAACGCAUUAAGUUCCCCGCCUGGGGAGUACGGCCGCAAGGCUAAAACUCAAAGGAAUUGACGGGGACCCGCACAAGCGGCGGAGCAUGCGGAUUAAUUCGAUGCAACGCGAAGAACCUUACCAAGGCUUGACAUAUACGAGAACGGGCCAGAAAUGGUCAACUCUUUGGACACUCGUAAACAGGUGGUGCAUGGUUGUCGUCAGCUCGUGUCGUGAGAUGUUGGGUUAAGUCCCGC